rnacentral:rRNA from 1 species
UCCCUACGGGGGGCAGCAGUGGGGAAUAUUGCACAAUGGGGGAAACCCUGAUGCAGCGACGCCGCGUGAGUGAAGAAGUAAUUCGUUACGUAAAGCUCUAUCAGCAGGGAAGAGAAUGACGGUACCUGAGUAAGAAGCCACGGCUAACUACGUGCCAGCAGCCGCGGUAAUACGUAGGUGGCGAGCGUUAUCCGGAAUGAUUGGGCGUAAAGGGUGCGUAGGCGGCCUGCUAAGUCUGGAGUGAAAGGUACCGGCUCAACCGGUACAGGCUCUGGAAACUGGCGGGCUAGAGAGCAGGAGAGGGG